CAAGCAUAUGUUGUUGCCAUACAUUCAGAUCAAUUCUUCUAUGUUUGGGUGCAUGGCGAUUGGAUCUGAAAAUUUGAUAUUUUCAUUCAUUUAUUUCAUGGCUUUCAAUAAGAUCUUCUUUAAUUGUUAAUUUAUUUAAUUUUAAUGGAAGAAGAAACUUUCCUUUUAACAUUGAGGUCUUGGGUUUGAGCCCAACUUCAGUUUACCCUCUCAAAAAAAGAAAAAAAGAAUUACUAUGAAAUGUCGAGUCAAAAUUAUUUACAUCUGGGUAGAUCUCUUUAAUUGAUCCAAACCAAUGAUGCUAUGGCUCCAUUGUGGGUGAUCUAUGCACCAAAACCUCCCAAGUAGGGAAAUCCUAAACCUACAAUUGGUAUUUUUGGCUAGAAAAAUAUACAGCUAGUAAAGAAAAUAUAGCAAAGAUCCACAUUCAGGAUACAUGGAUCUUCCAACAUGGUGGGUUUUUAGUGCAUGUGUAACCCAUGGUUGAGACCAUCAUGUCAGUGGUUUGGAUUGUUGAACCAUCAGUCUCACUUGUAUUGAUAGGGGUAAGAUCACUUCAUAUAAAUGCUCCAUGCGGGAUCUUAAUACAAAACAUUCACAUUACAACUAUAGAAAACACUAAACCAUCCAUGUAGUUGCAUCUUUAAUAUCAAUUACCAUGGGACACCAUAUAUUGAUUUUUCUGUAUUUCUUGUCAAAGCUAGUUUUGAAACAAUCAUUGUAAUUCAUAAGGAGGUGGCAUCGGAGGACAAUCUGAAACAACACAUGGAAGCUCUGGAGAAGGUGGUUUAACAAUGGAUCCUAUGCUUGGAGAUUAGCCAGUCUGUUUGUCGAGAGGUUUGAUAUUCGUGCUGGAGUUUGGGUUAGAAUGUUGUCGGAUAUACAAUUAAAGGCUAUCAUUGGGUUAGAAUGUUGUCGGAUAGACAACACUAAACAGCAAUUCAAUGCCUUGUAGCCAUGUCAGGGCUGCCCCAUGUGACGAUUUAUCCCAUGAGACCGCAGGUACUACGGGCUAUAUCAAAGGCUCUCGAAAAUCCAAAGAGGCCCGUUUUCUAGGAAGCUACUAGAUGCCGUCAAGCAUGGGCAUCAACUGCAUCAAGAAGCCUUCAUUUUUUAGGGGCACAACGUCGUUACUUGUUCGUUUAAGAAAAAAAAAGGUCAGUUCUGCCGGAAGAAAUAUAGAAGACUAACCCAUACGUGCCUUUGUUAAACUACAAAUGAGCGGUUGCCUAUUCAUGAAGCAAAGGCCUUUACAAGUUAGAUGCAACUCUCAGAAUGUUGAAAAGAAGCUGUAAAUCUAUGGAUAAUGGAAUGGGUGUUUGGAUGAGAUGAUUGGCAUUUUGUUUCUAGAUCUCUUAAAGAUUCAAAAAGGCUGCAAAUUUUAACGUUUUCACUAGAGCUGUUGGAGGAGAGUCAUGACUCGACUCAGAGCGAACGAGUUGAUCCUAGUUGGAUCUUCUAACAAUGUUCCGGGCAUUCCUCGUCAAAGCUUUUCUAAGCUGACAUGCAUGUGCAAGUCAGCUAAUGCAUGCACCAGCUUGGCACACAGGUAAAAUAUCCAAGCCCCACUCAUCAUGUGGAUCUCACUGCAUAGAUACUACUGGUGAAAGAUAAAGGCGGUCUGCUCAAUAGUUGUGCCAUGAUAUUAGAAAUAAGUGGAUGUGUUAGAAAACUUUAGAUAGGUCUUUCAUAGCUAUAGAUUCGUUCAGUUGAUUGUGGCCUGACUAGAGGACUGACCUGAUUC